rnacentral:rRNA from 1 species
GACGAACGCUGGCGGCGUGCUUAACACAUGCAAGUCGAACGAUGAAGCCUAGCUUGCUAGGUGGAUUAGUGGCGAACGGGUGAGUAAUACGUGAGUAACCUACCUUUAACUCUGGGAUAAGCCUGGGAAACUGGGUCUAAUACCGGAUACGACCAAUCUCCGCAUGGGGUGUUGGUGGAAAGCGUUAUGUAGUGGUUAUAGAUGGGCUCACGGCCUAUCAGCUUGUUGGUGAGGUAACGGCUCACCAAGGCGACGACGGGUAGCCGGCCUGAGAGGGUGACCGGCCACACUGGGACUGAGACUCGGCCCAGACUCCUACGGGAGGCAGCAGUGGGGAAUAUUGCACAAUGGGCGCAAGCCUGAUGCAGCGACGCCGCGUGAGGGAUGACGGCCUUCGGGUUGUAAACCUCUGUUAGCAGGGAAGAAGAGAAAUUGACGGUACCUGCAAAGAAAGCGCCGGCUAACUACGUGC